GGUUGAUCCUGCCAGUAGUCAUAUGCUUGUCUCAAAGAUUAAGCCAUGCAUGUCUCAGUACAGGCCUUAAUACGGUGAAACCGCGAAUGGCUCAUUAAAUCAGCUAUGGUUUAUUGGAUCAUACCCGUUAAAUGGAUAACUGUAAUAACCCUAGAGCUAAUACAUGCCUCGAAGCCCUGACCCAGUUUCGGCUGGGAAUGGGUGCACUUAUUAGAUCAGAAGCCAACUAGCCGGGUGUAUGCCUGGCUAAAGCACUUCUGGUGACUCUGGAUAAUUGUUACAGAUCGCAGUCG
rnacentral:rRNA from 1 species